AGAGUUUGAUCAUGGCUCAGAGCGAACGUUAGCGGCGGGCCUAACACAUGCAAGUCGAACGAGAAAGUCCUUCGGGGCGAGUAUAGUGGCGCACGGGUGAGGAACGCGUAGGUAAUCUACCCUCCGGCGGGGGACAACAUUCCGAAAGGAAUGCUAAUACCGCAUAUGACCACGCUCACUACGGUGAAAGUGGUAAAAGGCGCCUCAAAGCGCCACCAGAGGAUGAGCCUGCGUCCCAUCAGCUUGUUGGUAAGGUAACGGCUUACCAAGGCUAAGACGGGUAGCUGGUCUGAGAGGAUGAUCAGCCACACUGGCACUGGAACACGGGCCAGACUCCUACGGGAGGCAGCAGUGAGGAAUAUUGGGCAAUGGGCGAAAGCCUGACCCAGCCACGCCGCGUGUGUGAUGAAGGCCUUCGGGUCGUAAAGCACUGUGGGGAGAGACGAAACAGCGCAUCAGGAAAUGGUUGCGCCUUGACGGUACCUCCUUAGCAAGCACCGGCUAACUCUGUGCCAGCAGCCGCGGUAAUACAGAGGGUGCAAACGUUGCUCGGAUUUACUGGGCGUAAAGCGCGUGUAGGCGGACUCGCAAGUCGGUUGUGAAAUCCCUGGGCUCAACCUAGGAACUGCAUCCGAAACUGCUUGUCUUGAGUAAUGGAGAGGGUGGCGGAAUUCCCGGUGUAGAGGUGAAAUUCGUAGAUAUCGGGAGGAACAUCAGUGGCGAAGGCGGCCACCUGGACAUUUACUGACGCUGAGACGCGAAAGCGUGGGGAGCAAACAGGAUUAGAUACCCUGGUAGUCCACGCCGUAAACGAUGAGAACUAGGUGCAGCGGAUAUUGACCUCUGCUGUGCCGUAGCUAACGCGUUAAGUUCUCCGCCUGGGGGAGUACGGCCGCAAG
rnacentral:rRNA from 1 species